rnacentral:tRNA from 1 species
GCCGACUUAGACUCAAUUGGUAGAGCAACUGAUUUGUAAUCAGUAGGUUGGGGGUUCAAGUCCUCUAGUCGGCACCA